rnacentral:rRNA from 1 species
AUUGAACGCUGGCGGCAGGCCUAACACAUGCAAGUCGAGCGAGUGGCGGACGGGUGAGUAAUGUCUGGGACACUGCCCGAUGGAGGGGGAUAACUACUGGAAACGGUAGCUAAUACCGCAUACCAUCGGAUGUGCCCAGAUGGUAUUAGCUAGUAGGUGGGGUAACGGCUCACCUAGGCGACGAUCCCUAGCUGGUCUGAGAGGAUGACCAGCCAACCGAGAACUGAGACACGGUCCAGACUCCUACGGUAGGCAGCAGUGGGGAAUAUUGCACAAUGGGCGCAAGCCUGAUGCAGCCAUGCCGCGUGUAUGAAGAAGGCCUUCGGGUUGUAAAGCACUUUCAGCGAGGAGGCGUUACUCGCAGAAGAAGCACCGGCUAACUCCGUGCCAGCAGCCGCGGUAAUUC